rnacentral:misc_RNA from 1 species
UUUGCUCAAUCUACAUAGUUAUAAGGUUAACUCUUUACUAUUGGCAAAGUUAUUUUAGCUUUAUAUUAAUUAAUAUUAAUGAUGUCCAAGAAUGAUGGAUUAACUAUCAUUAUUUAAUGUAUUCAUACUUAUUAUUUAAUUAUGCAUCUUAAUUUUAAUUAUAUCUUGAAAUAUAUAUUAAUUUCAUGAACUUGAAAAUUUUUCAGAAAAAAAAAAAUGCGUAGCAAUAAGUUGUUACCGUUACGUUACAGCCAUUAUAGGCCUAUUUCGGUUACUCACAACCAUGACCACAAACGUGGCCACGACCGCGAUUUAAAUCUAUGUAGAAGACUUCAUAUUUCAAUUUUGACCAUUGCAUCUAAAUUGUUAUAUCAGGCUAAAAUUGCCAAAAUUAGAAGGUUUGGUAAAAUUUUAAAAACCACAUAACG